rnacentral:rRNA from 1 species
UACAGAGGGCGCGAGCGUUGUCCGGAAUUAUUGGGCGUAAAGAGCUCGUAGGCGGUUCGGCAAGUCGAAUGUGAAAUCUCCACGCUCAACGUGGAGGGGUCAUUCGAUACUGCCGUGACUUGAGUACGGUAGGGGAGUGUGGAAUUCCCGGUGUAGCGGUGAAAUGCGCAGAGAUCGGGAGGAACACCCGUAGCGAAGGCGGCACUCUGGGCCGAUACUGACGCUGAGGAGCGAAAGCGUGGGGAGCGAACAGG